GAUUCAAAAUUCAUCGUCGAGCAAAAGACGAAAAGUGUCACGCCGGCACUUUCCGGAGGGUAAUCCGUGCAGAAUAGAUGGAGCAAAGUUAGUUGGGCAACUUUCGGCGUUUCCGCCAUGAAAAAUUAAUUGGCGAGACUCUGGAGCGCGCGCGGUUAUUUGCAUAAUGAAGCCGCGCGACUCUUUCAUUCUGGAGAAGAGUGACGAGGCGCGCGGUGUUUCCAUGGCGACUCUUUUGAGCAGCUGAUGAUUUCGCGAUGCCACUUGCCUUCUAAUUGGAUGUCAGCUCGGAAGCACGCGAAGCGCGUUCAAACGACAAAAUAAAUAGAAAAGCCGCUUCCUUUCAAUAUUUGCGAAUCGAGUAAAAUCAAAUUAUGAGUGACCCAUAACGUUCGUGUAAAAACUACUCUAGCAAAAAGGGCAAUUUUUAGAGGUAAA